UACAGAGGUCUCAAGCGUUGUUCAGGAUUCAUUGGGCGUAAAGGGUGCGUAGGUGGCGCCGUAAGUCGGGUGUGAAAUUUCGGAGCUUAACUCCGAAACUGCAUUCGAUACUGCGGUGCUUGAGGACUGGAGAGGAGACUGGAAUUUAUGGUGUAGCAGUGAAAUGCGUAGAGAUCCGGAGGAAUACCAGAGGCGAAGGCGGCUGGCUGGCUCGUAAACUGAACGCUCAGACGCGAAAGCAUGGGGAGCGAACGGG
rnacentral:rRNA from 1 species